ACCUUUGAACCAAGUGAGAGAGUAAUUGUGGUAGGGGACCUGAAUGCUAAGUAGGAGGAACUUUUAGAGAGGGUGUGGUAGGUAAGUUUGGGGUGCCAGGUGUAAAUGAUAAUGGAAGACCUUUGAUUGAACUUUGUAUAGAAAGGGGUUUAGUUAUAGGUAAUACAUAUUUUAAGAAAAAGAGGAUAAAUAAGUAUACAAGAUAUGAUGUAGGGUGAAAUGACAGUAGUUUGUUGGAUUAUGUAUUGGUAGAUAGAAGACUGUUGAGUAGACUUCAGGAUAUACAUGUUUAUAGAGGGGCCACAGACAGAUCACUUUUUAGUUGUAGCUACACUGAGAGUAAAAGUUAGAUGGGAUACAAGGAGAAGAGAAGCAUCAGGUAAGAGAGAGGUGAAGGUUUAUAAACUAAAAGAGGAGGCAGUUAUGGUAAGAUAUAAAAAAACUAUUGUAGGAUAGAUGGGCUGAUGAGAGCAUAGGCAAUGGGGUCAAAGAGGUAUGGGGUAGGUUUAAAAAUGUAGUGUUAGAGUGUUCAGCAAAAGUUUGUGGUUACAGGAAAGUGGGUGCAGGAGGGAAGAGGAGCGAUUAGUGGAAUGAUGUAAAGAGAGUAGUAAGGGAGAAGAAGUUAGCAUAUGAGAAGUUUUUACAAAGUAGAAGUGAUGCAAGGAGGGAAGAGUAUAUGGGGAAAAAGAGAGAGGUUAAGAGAGUGGUGAAGCAACGUAAAAAGAGAGCAAAUGAGAGAGAGGGUGAGAUGUUAUCAACAAAUUUUGUUUAAAAUAAAAAGUUUUGGAGUGAGAUUAACAAGUUAAGAAAGCCUAGAGAACAAAUGGAUUUGUCAGUUAAAAAUAGGAGAGGAGAGUUAUUAAAUGGAGAGUUAGAGGUAUUGGGAAGAUGGAAUAUUUUGAGGAAUUGUUGAAUGUUGAUGAAGAUAGAGAAGCUGUGGUUUCGUGAAUAGGGCAAGGAGGAAUAACAUCUUGUAGGAGAGAGGAAGAGCCAGUUGUGAGUGUGGGGGAAGUUUAUGAGGCACUAGGUAAAAUGAAAGGGGGUAAGGCAGCUGGGAUUGAUGGGAUAAACAUAGAAAUGUUAAAAGCAGGUGGGGAUAUAGCUUUGGAGUGGUUGGUGCUAUUAUUUAAUAAAUGUAUGGAAGAGGGUAAGGUACCUAGGGAUUGGCAGAGAGCAUGCAUAGUUCUUUUGUAUAAAGGCAAAGGGGACAAAAGAGAGUGCAAAAAUUAUAGGGGGAUAAGUCUGUUGAGUAUACCUGAUAAAGCAUAUGGUAGAGUUAUUAUUGAAAGAAUUGAGAGUAAGACUGAGAAUAGAAUAGCAGAUGAACAAGGAGGCUUUAGGAAAGGUAGGGGGUGUGUGGACCAGGUGUUUACAGUGAAACAUGUAAGUGAACAGUAUUUAGGUAAGGCUAUAGAGGAUUUUGUGGCAUUUAUGGAUUUGGAAAAGACAUAUGACAGGGUGGAUAAGGGGGCAAUGUGGCAGAUGUUGUAGAUGUAUGGUAUAGGAGGUAGGUUACUGAAAGCAGUGAAGAGUUCUUAUGAGGAUAGUGAGGCUCAAGUUAGAGUAUGUAGGAAAGAGGGAAAUUAUUUCCCAGUAAAAGUAGGCCUUAGACAAGGAUGUGUGAUGUCACCGUGGUUGUUCAAUAUAUUUAUAGAUGGGGUUGUAAGAGAAGUAAAUGUGAGGGUCUUGGCAAGAGGUGUGGAGUUAAAAGGUAAAGAAUCACACAUAAAGUGGGAGUUGUCACAGUUGCUCUUUGCUGAUGACACUGUGCUUUUGGGUGAUUCUGAAGAGAAGUUGCAGAGGUUGGUGGAUGAAUUUGGUAGGGUAUGUAAAAGAAGAAAAUUGAAAGUGAAUACAGGAAAGAGUAAGGUUAUGAGGAUAACAAAAAGAUUAGGUGAUGAAAGAUUGGAGGGAGAGAGUAUGGAGGAGGUGAAUGUAUUCAGAUAUUUGGGAGUGGAUAUGUCAGCAGAUGGGUCUAUUAAAGAUGAGGUGAAUCAUAGAAUUGAUGAGGGGAAAAGGGUGAGCGGUGCACUUAGGAGUCUGUGGAGACAAAGAACUUUGUCCUUUGAAGCAACGAGGGGAAUGUAUGAGAGUAUAGUUUUACCAACGCUCCUGUAUAGGUGUGAAGCAUGGAUGAUGAAUGUUGCAGCGAGGAGAAGGCUGUAGGCAGUGGAGAUGUCACGUCUGAGGGCAAUGUGUGGUGUGAAUAUAAUGCAGAGAAUUCGUAGUUUGGAAGUUAGGAGGAGUUGCGGGAUUGCCAAAACUGUUGUCCAGAGGGCUGAGGAAGGGUUGUUGAGGUGGUUCGGGCAUGUAGAGAGAAUGGAGCGAAACAGAAUGACUUCAAAAGUAUCAGUCUGUAGUGGAAGGAAGGCGGUGUAGGGGUCGGCCUAGGAAAGGUUGGAGGAAGGGGGUAAAAGAGGUUUUGUGUGCAAGGGGCUUGGACUUCCAGCAGGCAUGCGUGAGCGUGUUUGAUAGGAGUGAAUGGAGACAUAUGGUUUUUAAUACUUGACGUGCUGUUGGAGUGUGAGCAAAGUAAUAUUUAUGAAGGGAUUCAGGGAAACCGGCAUGCCGGACUUGAGUCCUGGAGAUGGGAAGUACAGUGCCUGCACUCUGAAGGAGGGGUGUUAAUGUUGCAGUUUAAAAUCUGUAGUGUAAAGCACCCUUCUGGCAAGACAGUGAUGAAGUGAAUGAUGGUGAAAGUUUUUCUUUUUUGGGCCACCCUGCCUUGGUGGGAAUCGGCCAGUGUGUCAAUAAAAUUAAAAAAAAAAUAUGUUGUGGCUUCAGCUGACGAGAGUUUGUCUGGAGACAGGACAAAAUACUCCUCGAAUAUUUUGCUAUCAUCAACUGUAUGGCUUAUUUAUCUCUCGUUUCAUCACUAUGACAUAACAAUGUAAAUAACAUAGAAACCUGAUAUAUAGUCUAGAAUGAAUAAAAUAUGUCAUUAUAUAUGUUGCCGUGGCGGAGGCCGACGAGAGUUUGUCUGGAGACAGGACAAAAUAUUUCUUGAAUAUUUCACUAUCAUCAACUCUACGGCUUAUUUAUCUAUCACAGUUCAUCUAAUAUGAAAUAAUAAUCAAUAUAAAUAAUAUAGAAACCUGAUAAAUACUCUAGAAUGGAUAAAAUAUGUCAUGUAAUAGAUGGAGGCGGCCACAACCGCUCCCUCUUUGUUGUGGUAAACACUGCCAUCUAGUGACGGCCUUUUGAAGCCGUCUAUUAUGUAUUAUUAUUAUGUAGUACAUUAUUAUUACAUAUGUAUUAUUAUUAUACAUAUUAUUAUUAUUGUAUUAUAUUAUACUAUUAUACAUUAUUAUUAUUAUUAUUACGUAUUAUUACAAUAUAAAUAAUUUGCAAUUAUUAUUCACACAAAAAAUAUAAGGUGUACUGUGAAGCCUUUUUACAAUAAUUGUAUAAAUAAUGUCAACCCAUUCACGACUGCAUAUUGGAAUGGACAUUGUCAUUUUUUUACUCUUCAACAUAGCCAAAACAAUCGAACAUUUCUCUUAUGUUGAGCUCUAUUUGAAGGUACUUUUCAUCGUGAAAGCAAUCAAAAUCAUAUCUAUUUCUGUAAUAUAUCUCCCAUUCUAUCAAAUGAGACCAAAAAAGUGAGAAUACAAUCAUAAAAACCAUACAAAAAUACUGCUAAGGGGUGGCUAAUUGCUGAGAAGUGAACUCCAUUAUUUAUGCUUAGACUUCUUUUAUUUUUGGUGUAUGUUAAGAAGCAUCUUUCCAUCAUACAUUGCCCAAGUUUCAAUAAGAUAGUCCAACAAACAAAUGAGAUACAAUUCCCGAGAUCAAGAGCAAGAGCCCCUCACCAGUGUCAAGGAACCUGCCUUGAGGUCUGCUCACUUGUGGAAAUUUUGCUUACGUAUGGAAGCAAAAAAUUGACCCAUCGACUCCUCGUAUUUGGAAAAACUCACACAUGGAUGCGCUCAUGAGUAGAGGUUCCACUGUAUAUACAAUGUUUUAGAAUAUUCAAGAAAUAUUCUGUGUCAGUUAAUAUGCCUUUGUGAAUUCUCCUAUUCAGGCUUUUCUUUCUUAUAAUAACUAGAUAAUUCCAGAUUUACAUAUUUUAUUUUUAACACUAUUACUAUCAUUAUUGUCCUCUAUCACCUGCAACUAUCAUUAUUAUUAUCAUUAUAAUAUUAAUGACAAUGUAAUACAGUAAACCACUAAACUAGUUGCAAUCACCAUGUUGCAGUUAACUAUGUGUACUUUGUACCACUGUACCUAGAUUGGCUAGGACCUCAGUAAAAUUAAAAUUAAAAAAUUAAAA